rfam:Phlebotomus papatasi Contig3118.2, whole genome shotgun sequence.
CAAAGGGUCCUUUUCAGGACCAUCCUUCAAUAGCAUAUCAAUGAAU